UACAGAGGUCUCAAGCGUUGUUCGGAUUCAUUGGGCGUAAAGGGUGCGUAGGUGGUCGGGUAAGUCUGAUGUGAAAUCUCCGGGCCUAACCCGGAAACUGCAUCGGAUACUAUUCGGCUAGAGGGUUGGAGGGGGGACUGGAAUACUUGGUGUAGCAGUGAAAUGCGUAGAUAUCAAGUGGAACACCAGUGGCGAAGGCGAGUCCCUGGACAACUCCUGACACUGAGGCACGAAAGCUAGGGGAGCAAACAGG
rnacentral:rRNA from 1 species